GACGAACGCUGGCGGCGUGCCUAAUACAUGCAAGUAGAACGCACAGUUUAUACCGUAGCUUGCUACACCAUAAACUGUGAGUUGCGAACGGGUGAGUAACGCGUAGGUAACCUGCCUGGUAGCGGGGGAUAACUAUUGGAAACGAAAGCUAAUACCGCAUAAUAUUAAUUAUUGCAUGAUAAUUGAUUGAAAGAUGCAAUUGCAUCACUACCAGAUGGACCUGCGUUGUAUUAGCUAGUAGGUGAGGUAACGGCUCACCUAGGCGACGAUACAUAGCCGACCUGAGAGGGUGAUCGGCCACACUGGGACUGAGACACGGCCCAGACUCCUACGGGAGGCAGCAGUAGGGAAUCUUCGGCAAUGGACGAAAGUCUGACCGAGCAACACCGCGUGAGUGAAGAAGGUUUUCGGAUCGUAAAGCUCUGUUGUAAGAGAAGAACGGGUGUGAGAGUGGAAAGUUCACACUGUGACGGUAUCUUACCAGAAAGGGACGGCUAACUACGUG
rnacentral:rRNA from 1 species